UACGGAGGGGGCUAGCGUUGUUCGGAAUUACUGGGCGUAAAGCGCACGUAGGCGGCGAUCUAAGUCAGAGGUGAAAGCCCGGGGCUCAACCCCGGAAUAGCCUUUGAGACUGGAUUGCUAGAAUCUUGGAGAGGCGAGUGGAAUUCCGAGUGUAGAGGUGAAAUUCGUAGAUAUUCGGAAGAACACCAGUGGCGAAGGCGGCUCGCUGG
rnacentral:rRNA from 1 species